GACCAUCUCUUGGCAUGCUCUGGCGAAUUACUUUCACAGUAAGCUAAAGUAGCUUCCUGCACAGUGAAGCGAUCCUCUUUCUCUUCUGAGAUUCCCAUGAGGAAGGGGAGCUGAGUGUCUUUUGUAGUUCCCUGUGCCCUGUGCUGAACAGAAAGCUUAAGGAGGUCUUUCCUGGCAUAAAGGAACUGAAAUAAGUAGGCUGUGUAUGCAGCAGUGGCUUCUGGGAAUGGUUUCAGGACUUUGUAUUUCCUAGUUAUUUUGUGCCUUUUUUUUUUUUUUUUUUUUUGUCAAAGGGUAAACAUUUCAAACUAAAUUAUUCAGAAGGGAUUUAGAAGCUGUUUUCUUUAAGUUCUGCUGAAUACAAAUGUGUGGAGAGAAAAAAAAAUCAAGCAUUUUGCUUUGGUUUUGUGUUUUUGUUCACUGGUUACACUGAGAUCUUUGAGGAGAAAAGUUGUAUAGAUGUGUGGAGUGAUUCAGUUCCCCCUCUUCCUGAGCAGGGUUUUCACAGGAAUCCACUCCAAACCACUGCUUGAAGAGGGCUAUCUCAAGUCUACUAAAGGAGAGAAAAGAAAAUUCCUUGCAAAAUGAAGAGCCAUGAUAAAAAAUGGGGUGAUUCUACUUCCAAGACCAGUAUGCUGGUGGCAUUUCCUCAGCAAAUAAAAUUUUAUCAUGGCCUUGAAAUGUUGCAGCAGCCUUGGAAGAAUUUUAGGAAUGUCCCCAAGGAAGCAAUGAAUUUCUGAUUUGCAUAGAAAGGGACAGAGGUAAGGAGAGAGGAAGAGCCUGCUGCUGUGCAUAUUUAAUUCCUGACAUUGCUCUCCAGAACUCAAUGGGAAGAGAUCUGAGACAUGAAACCUGUACUGCUGAAUGAGGAGCACACCAGAAAUGUGAAUCACCACAGAUAAUAUGAUACUGGAUAGGAAUCUAAAACUCAAGACUGUGAUGAAUGCCAGAGAGAGAGAGAGAAGUUUCAUCUCAAAGGUAGUCAGAAUAUAGGAGUAGGCUGCUCAGAACAGUUGGCACAUGAAGGUGACUGUAAUCUGCUAGAUUUAGGAUCCAAUUCUAUGACAUACAUCAAGUCAAGGGGAUGUUUCUACGAUGAUGUUCCCUGUCACCAAUAUGUUGGGCAACUUUAAGGCACAUUAGACUGCCAAGAGCUUUUAUAGACCAGAGUACUUAAGAAGGUAGUUGGUUAGAGCUGAGUUCAAAUUACAAUUUGUUGUUUUGUUUUUCUCUCUUCCACUUUGCUUCCAACCCUGAAAUUAGGAUUUAAGAUUUUCUUCUUCUUGACUAAGCUUACACUAAUUUUCCCCAUCAUCUUUCCAGUGCUAGAGUUGAGGCCAAGGGAGGCUGACAAAUUCAGAUCACAUUCUGUCACUGGAGGUAAAGUAUGCAAGCGCCAGUCUAAUGCUCCCUCCAUAAGUUGCACCCUGACAUGAGACUGAAUGCUCUCAGCCAUGCUGGAAGGGUCAUCGGGGGCCUGGGAUUGCCAAGUGCUGUAUUGAGAAAGUUGUUCCUGGCAGGCACAGAGAACACCCCUUCUUCCAGGAACAGGUAACAAAGAGAGACCCCUCAUAGCAGACCCCCAGGGAACCAUUCAUACCACUCCAUGGUUUCAAGUGAAAAUGCAGCAGUUCUCAGCACAGGAGUGAAGGCUGAAAUUAAAAUAAUCAACAGAAAAUGGACCAUACUGAUUUGUGAGAUUGUGUUUGAAAAAACUAUUUACAACCCUUUUCUAC
rnacentral:lncRNA from 1 species